AUUCGCUGAGGACACUUUUAUUAGUGGCCGUACUAGAACCAGUAGAAGCUUCCAACUAUGUAGUCAACUUUAAUUUAGACCUCAGAUCAGGCAGGAUUACCCGCUGAACUUAAGCAUAUCAAUAAGCGGAGGAAAAGAAACUAACAAGGAUUCCCCUAGUAACGGCGAGUGAAGCGGGAAGAGCUCAAAUUUGUAAUCUGGCACCUUCGGUGUCCGAGUUGUAAUCUCGAGAAGUGUUUUCCGCGCCGGACCGCAUACAAGUCUGUUGGAAUACAGCGUCAUAGUGGUGAGAACCCCGUAACUGAUGCGGAUGCCCGGUGCUUUGUGAUACACUUUCGAAGAGUCGAGUUGUUUGGGAAUGCAGCUCAAAUUGGGUGGUAAAUUCCAUCUAAAGCUAAAUAUUGGCGAGAGACCGAUAGCGAACAAGUACCGUGAGGGAAAGAUGAAAAGCACUUUGGAAAGAGAGUUAACAGUACGUGAAAUUGUUGGAAGGGAAACGCUUGAAGUCAGACUUGCUAUGUGGAAUUCAGCCGCAAGGUGUACUUUUCAUUUCGCAGGCCAGCAUCAGUUUUCGGGGGUGGAAAAGGGUAGAGAGAAGGUAGCAAUCUCGGUUGUGUUAUAGCUCUUUGCUGGAUUCAUCCCUGGGGACUGAGGAACGCAGCACGCUUUUUGCAAGGCUUUCGAGCUUUUCGUGCU
rnacentral:rRNA from 1 species